UACGUAGGGCGCAAGCGUUGUCCGGAAUUAUUGGGCGUAAAGAGCUUGUAGGCGGUCUGUCGCGUCUGCUGUGAAAAUCCGGGGCUCAACCCCGGACUUGCAGUGGGUACGGGCAGACUAGAGUGUGGUAGGGGAGACUGGAAUUCCUGGUGUAGCGGUGAAAUGCGCAGAUAUCAGGAGGAACACCGAUGGCGAAGGCAGGUCUCUGGGCCACUACUGACGCUGAGAAGCGAAAGCGUGGGGAGCGAACAGG
rnacentral:rRNA from 1 species